AUACGGAGGGGGCUAGCGUUGUUCGGAAUUACUGGGCGUAAAGCGCGUGUAGGCGGAUCGUUAAGUCAGGGGUGAAAGCCCGGGGCUCAACCCCGGAACUGCCCUUGAUACUGGCGAUCUAGAGUCCGGAAGAGGUAGGCGGAAUUCCCGGUGUAGAGGUGAAAUUCGUAGAUAUCGGGAGGAACACCAGUGGCGAAGGCGGCUCACUGGUCCGGUACUGACGCUGAGACGCGAAAGCGUGGGGAGCAAACAGGAUUAGAAACCCUAGUAGUCC
rnacentral:rRNA from 1 species